UAUCGUCUUACCUGCCAGCUGGUAUGUG
rnacentral:sRNA from 1 species